AUUUGUUUGUUGAGGGGUUAAAUAAAUGAUGGGUUGCAGCUUGAUGAAAAAAAAAAGAACCCCACUCCCAAAUUCAGUGGUGACCGAAGAAGAAGAAGAAGAAGAAGAAGAAGAGAAGAAAAGAAAAAAAAAAAAAGCUUAGGCCGAAGGAAAUUGGUGGUCUAAAACAGUAUCGACGCACCAGGUCAACGCCGUAUAAACAAGGACGUAGCUUCGGAAGAAGGAAGCCCCCACACCGAGACCACCUGCAUCACCUUUUGUCGAAGAGGUAAGGAUUAUUUACCACCUUACUCUAUCUCAAUAAUUAGUACCCUUAGGCCUCAAAUAUGAGUGAAAAAUGGGUUGAAUAAUUUUCUGUUUUAGCUGAAGGCAUGAACAGUGAUGUAAUACACCCAAUUUUUGGUUUAAAACAGUUAUGCAGUAAGGUUUACCGGUGUCCUCUAAUUGGUAGUUGUAGAUCCUGAAAUGAAUGGUACAAUAGUUUUAAGAUUAGGUACCUGAGUAUGUAAUUUCUGCAUCAAUUAAACGAUGAGCACCAGUGUUCGAAAUUUAGUUUAGGCACCUAAACUGAUGUGCAUGAGGGAUAUAUCAGCUCUGAUGAAUUCUGUAAAAAUUCCAUAUCUGGGAAGUAUCAUGUCGGGGAGUUAUUUGAGUAAAAUAAAGGGUUGAGAUCUGAUGGGAGAAUGAUUAUAGAUAGAAACACUAGAAUACAACACAACAAAACAAGUAAGGAUUUAAAAAUUUGGCCAAUUAAAUUAUAAGAGCAUCCUGGAAAUUUCCAGGUAAAUUAGUGAAGGGUACUGAUCAAUGUAUAGAUGAGGAAAUUAUAAAAAAAAAAGAAAAAAAAAACAAAAUAGGCAACAAGGGGAAUAAUAGAAAAAUAAAUAUGUGUAUGUAUAUACUGGUGUGCAUACACGGGAGGAAAUAUAAAAACAAAAUUAGGCAAAAAGUGUAAUAGCAGAAAAAUAAUUAUAUAUGUGUAGAUAUAUAUACUGGUGUGCAUAUGCAGGGGGAGGAAAUAUAAAACAAAAUUAGGCAACAAGGGGAAUAGUAGAAAAAUAAUUAUGCAUGUGUGUAUAUAUAUACUGGUGUGCAUACUUAGGGGAGGAAAUAUAAAGACAAAAAUUAGUCAACAAGGGGAAUAACAGAAAAAUAAUUAUAUAUGUGUGUGUGUAUAUAUAUAUAUACUGGUGUGCAUACGCAGGAGAGGAAAUUAUAGAAUUUAGAGGAUUGGUCUGUAUGGGAACAAAAAAUAAUAAUAUGGACAACAUAGAAAAUAAGGGGAAAA